rnacentral:misc_RNA from 1 species
GAAUCCCUCAAGCAAUUAAAUAGCUAAUAAGCAGAAAAGUCUUGAGCAAAUUUACAUAUACAUAUAUUCACAAACUUGUUACAUUCACAGUGGUAGAACGGGAAAGGGACAUGACUGGUUGCUGCGGUAUGCAGCUGACCUUAUCAGCUUCCAACAAUGGUUUCUAUAUACAAUUUCUCGUGGAUUAACUGUCAAGUAUAUUUCCUCAAGUUCCUUUUAGCCCUAAAUUGACCAAGCUUGUCCCUCCAUUGAGCUGCAUCUUGGUAACGUUCUUCAAUGACGGCAGCAACCAUGUUGCGAACAAGAUCAAACUCCUUGGUAUCAAGACAAGGCUGACCAGUGGGCCGAUCUAGUUCAGUAAAUAAUAAGCCAUCUGAAGCUGGAGACCGUGUUAGCUUUCCAGAUUCAAUGACUCUCAUUCCAUCACUGUAUGCCAGGUGCUUGUUGACUUGAAUUGGUACCUUGCAUCUCACUGCAAUAUUGAUGGCAUCUGAAGGACGAAGGUCAAAGCUGACACAUUCCGUCUCAUUGCCCAAUUUUGUCAGGUAUAACUGAGCAAAAUAUGCCUCAUGCACCCUCUUAGUAACUCUAACAAGUCUGACUUCAUAGCCCAUUUUCUCAAUCAUUUCCUUUACCACUUGAUACAUAGUUGGUCUAGCUAUCUGCACAUUGCGAACAGCUGCCAUGAGCAACACACUGGGCAUCUCCAAAACAAUUAUAGGGAGAAGAAGACCAGUCCCAUCUUCCAUCUUCAAUACAAUUGCAGGAUGAGGUGCAUAGUCUGGCAGAUGCCCGCCUUGAGGGUUGUUAUGGACACAUCGUAAGUGCCUCCCAUCCCUCAUUUUGAUCACGAAACCAUCUGCNNNNNNNNNNNUAUAUGAUAAAUCAUGGGAAGCAUUAGUAAUUGAUGACAGUUCGAAACUGCAAUGAUC